AGUAUGGUCCUAUUUAGGACCAUAGAAUACAAACAUUUCCAUAGUGU
rfam:Myotis lucifugus cont2.19765, whole genome shotgun sequence.